GUAAUGAAAAAAAAAAUGCUAGGUUACAAAUUUUCCCCCCUUUUUUUGUGGUCAUCAGUUUCCUCUCAUCCCUCUCUCAAAACACAGCACCCUUCUUCUCCUUCAGUUUGUUCUCUUCCUUCAGCGCUGCCACCGAUGUAACUCGUUCUCCUUCAGCACCGCCACCAACGUCACCCGUUCUCCUCCUUCAAUGGCGCUACCGAUGUCACCCGCGUUCUCCUUCGACCAAUCGUCAGCACUGCUGGCGUCGCUUCAAGUAUUAUUCAAUUAUUUCUCUGUUUCUCUAUUUUUGUAUUUUCAGGUAUAGGUCCUCUGUCUUUCUCUCUCUCACCCAAUUUCUCUAUUUUUGUAUCUUUGUUGCUAAUUUCCCUUGCUUAUUGAACAUUUGCACUCAUUAAUUUUCAUCAGAAUUACAAACUUUGAACAUCUUAAAAAAGAAGUAAAAUUUUCACUUCAUUAUGGGUAAUAUUUGAAAUAAUAAGGGAAGAACCUGAUUGGAAACCUUUGAAUUUAAUUGAACUGUGCAUUCAAUAUUUAAUUGGUUUGUUGGCUCUGUAACUUUUGUUGAUAGUCAUUUAUCCAAAAUCCUUUUAGAUUUACAGUGAUUGCUUAUGAAUUAUGAACUCCAUGUUUUAAAAAUUUAAGAAGGUUUAUUGUAACAUUUCUUUUGUCUACAAGUUUUGGUUAGAUUUAUUUCUUUAGCUUUAUUUAUUUAUUUAUUAUUUAUUUACCUGUAUUUCUUCAUGCCAGUUGCAAAACUGUUAAAACAUGAAAUUGAUAUUGUUCAAUAUUAAAGGGAUAAGAAGUUUGAAGAUAUUCUAUUUAUGUUUAUGUUUGAUUAAAGAUUGGAGGUUGAUUGUGUCUGCUUUUGCUAAUAGUGGAUGAGGUUGCUGUCUUGCUAACGUUUAUUUAUUUGUGAUGUAAUCAAUAAUUUGAUUUUGUUUUUGGCCACCAGAAAGUCUUUAUCAAAACACAAGUAGAUUACUUGAGUGUUGUAGCAUUUGGUUUGUUAGGUGACUUCAAAAUUAAGGUGUAUGUUUUACAUUUGGACAACUAAAAAAGUAAAGUAUGUGAAUUAAAUCUGUAAAUGAUUUUUUUUCUUCCCUAUUUUUAUGGAAGAAAAAAAAUCAUCUACAAAAUGGCCUACAACAAGAGUUUCCAAAAUGCCUACCAACUCAUUACCAACCUUAUUCACAGUACUAAUCUUGGUAAAGCAUAAUUUUCUUAAAACUCAAGAAUCAGCUAGUAUGAGAAGGGUCUGUAGUUUAGGACUGCAAUACCAAACAAAAAUAGAAUUCACAGAGGCGAAGCUAGAGAAAGAGAAAAAAAAUUCAACGUGAGGACUCUCUAUCUGAGAGAAUCCAACCAUUUCAACAAACUCAGGGAGAAGCAAAGACUUGGUAAAAGACACUCUUUUUAUUUUUUUUAUUGUUUGCUCAUUUUUAUCUUCAUCUCAUUUUAUUUUUUUAUUUUUUAUUUUUAAUUCAAUGAUGGUUAUACAUUUAGUGGAUCGCUGGGAACAAGAGAUGGUCCAUAGUUUCUACUAAUGGGGAGAUGAACAUAAACUUCAUGAACAAGAGACGGUCUAUGGUUUCAAUGCUUUGCUUGAUUAACAAUACUUUUGGUGUUGACAGUUUUUCAAAUGAUGAAAAAUCUAGAGUUAUCCAUAUGAUUUCAAGACUUUCUUCCAUGUUUCAAGCAUGAUUUUUUUUAAUUUUUUUUUCCUUUUCUCCUUGGAACACUAUAUAUAAUUAUCUCUCAGCAGCAAACAAAUCUAUUGAUAGCUACACCAAAAACCUCAGGCAGAUCCAAGUCAAAUAAACAAUAGUCAGGCACAACAAGUGCCAUUAAUAAGUUAAUGCAACUUUACAUAAUAUGUCUCCUACACAAACAAUGUUAGAUGCAGAUAGAACAAACUAUUCUUCUCAGUGAACAAAUGGAUCACACAGUGAAAUAUGCACACCAGAGAUCCGAAAACAGUAUCAUGUUUGUUGAUUUCUUUACAAUAUGAAUCAGUAACUGCAAAUACAAAAUAAAAUAAAAUAAAAAUUAUUGUUUCCAUAAAAAAGCCAAGCAGUUUAAGAGCUCAAGAAUCAGGUAAAUCACAAUAUUCAUUGUACUAAUCUUGGUAAAUCAUAAUUUUCUUAGAACUCAAGAAUCAGGUAGUAUGAGAAGGUUCUGUAGUUUAUGGCUGCAAUACCAAACAAAAAUAGAAUUUAUAAAGGCAAAGCCAGAGAAAGAGAAAAAAAUUCAAUGUGAGGACUUUCUGUCUGAGAGAAUCCAAUCAUUUCAACAAAUCCAGGGAGAUGCAAAGACUUGGUAAAAUACACUCUUUUAAUUUUUUUUAUUGUUUGCUCAUUUUUAUCUUCAUCUCUUUCUGUUUUUCAUUGAAUUCUCAUCUGUCUCUCAUUGAAUUCCCAGAGCUCCACUAAAUGUAUAACCAUCAUUGAAUGCCCCCUGUAUAUCUCUAUAUUUUAUCAUUUUAUUUUAGGACUUGUUCACCAAAGAAAAAGUUACUUAUGUUGCUUUUAUGAUUUCACUUUAAUUAGUUAACAACCAUUCAAUAUUAUGUCUUUAAAACAGUGCCUAGUAGACACCAUCGUGGCUUGACACGAUGGCUAAAGGUUCAAGCAAUGGUUGAGAAAUAUGGAAAACUCGAAGUCCUAGUUAACAACCAUUCAAUAUUAUGUCUUUAAAACAGUGCCUAGUAGACACCAUCGUGGCUUGACACGAUGGCUAAAGGUUCAAGCAAUGGUUGAGAAAUAUGGAAAACUCGAAGUCCUAUACCACAGGAGUAUCGUGCGCCAGUGGGGGAUCAUGCCUUUCAAUUUGUCUCCAGAUUGGUGUUGAGGUCCGAACACACUUGCUAGACCUUAACAUUCGCAGGUGGAAACAUGUCAACAAAGAAGUCACGGCACCUAUGAUGUAGUGUCUAACGGUAAAAGUAUUACAUAAUGGAUUGAAUUCAUAUAAUACAAUUAAUUAUGACUUACAAUAUUCGUGGUUGUUGCUAGGAUCAAUUUGACAUAUAAGGUGAAUCCACAGAUGUUAACAAAGCGGUGGUAACAAAGUGUGGACGGAGUUUGAGCACCCACACCUACAGACUAUGAAAAAAAUACCUAAAUCUUAAGACUGCUAAGGGAGAGGAGUAUGCUAGAAGCCACCCACCGCCUGGAUAUGACCUCAAGAAAUGGAAAAACUUGAUUGACAAGAAGUGGAAUGAUAGCAAUUGAUUGAUUUUUGAUGACAUGGGGAAGAACACUUGCAAAUCAAGAUCAAGUGUUGAAUUUUUAUUUUUAUUUUUCUUGAACUGAUACUUAGUUCUAGUGGCAAAUCAAGAUCGAGUGUUGAUUUUUAUUUGUGGACUCCACGUUAGUUCAUUUUGGGAUUACUAUGAUGGCUUUUUUUUGUUAUACUUAAUGGAUUAAUAUUAAAUUUGUUUGACGGAUA